GAAUGCUGACAUAAGUAACGAUAAAGCGGGUGAAAAGCCCGCUCGCCGGAAGACCAAGGGUUCCUGUCCAACGUUAAUCGGGGCAGGGUGAGUCGACCCCUAAGGCGAGGCCGAAAGGCGUAGUCGAUGGGAAACGGGUUAAUAUUCCCGUACUUGGUGUUACUGCGAAGGGGGGACGGAGAAGGCUAUGUUGGCCGGGCGACGGUAGUCCCGGUUUAAGCGUGUAGGUGUGUGUUCCAGGUAAAUCCGGUUCACUUUAACACUGAGGCGUGAUGACGAGGCACCACGGUGCUGAAGCAACAAAUGCCCUGCUUCCAGGAAAAGCCUCUAAGCAUCAGGUAACAUCAAAUCGUACCCCAAACCGACACAGGUGGUCAGGUAGAGAAUACCAAGGCGCUUGAGAGAACUCGGGUGAAGGAACUAGGCAAAAUGGUGCCGUAACUUCGGGAGAAGGCACGCUGACACGUAGGUGAAGUGAUUUACUCAUGGAGCUGAAGUCAGUCGAAGAUACCAGCUGGCUGCAACUGUUUAUUAAAAACACAGCACUGUGCAAACACGAAAGUGGACGUAUACGGUGUGACGCCUGCCCGGUGCCGGAAGGUUAAUUGAUGGGGUCAGCGCAAGCGAAGCUCCUGAUCGAAGCCCCGGUAAACGGCGGCCGUAACUAUAACGGUCCUAAGGUAGCGAAAUUCCUUGUCGGGUAAGUUCCGACCUGCACGAAUGGCGUAAUGAUGGCCAGGCUGUCUCCACCCGAGACUCAGUGAAAUUGAACUCGCUGUGAAGAUGCAGUGUACCCGCGGCAAGACGGAAAGACCCCGUGAACCUUUACUAUAGCUUGACACUGAACAUUGAGCCUUGAUGUGUAGGAUAGGUGGGAGGCUUUGAAGCGUGGACGCCAGUCUGCGUGGAGCCGACCUUGAAAUACCACCCUUUAAUGUUUGAUGUUCUAACGUGGACCCGUAAUCCGGGUUGCGGACAGUGUCUGGUGGGUAGUUUGACUGGGGCGGUCUCCUCCUAAAGAGUAACGGAGGAGCACGAAGGUUGGCUAAUCCUGGUCGGACAUCAGGAGGUUAGUGCAAUGGCAUAAGCCAGCUUGACUGCGAGCGUGACGGCGCGAGCAGGUGCGAAAGCAGGUCAUAGUGAUCCGGUGGUUCUGAAUGGAAGGGCCAUCGCUCAACGGAUAAAAGGUACUCCGGGGAUAACAGGCUGAUACCGCCCAAGAGUUCAUAUCGACGGCGGUGUUUGGCACCUCGAUGUCGGCUCAUCACAUCCUGGGGCUGAAGUAGGUCCCAAGGGUAUGGCUGUUCGCCAUUUAAAGUGGUACGCGAGCUGGGUUUAGAACGUCGUGAGACAGUUCGGUCCCUAUCUGCCGUGGGCGCUGGAAGACUGAGGGGGGCUGCUCCUAGUACGAGAGGACCGGAGUGGACGCAUCACUGGUGUUCGGGUUGUCAUGCCAAUGGCACUGCCCGGUAGCUAAAUGCGGAAAAGAUAAGUGCUGAAAGCAUCUAAGCACGAAACUUGCCCCGAGAUGAGUCUUCCCUGAGACUUUGAGUCUCCUGAAGGAACGUUAAAGACGAUGACGUUGAUAGGCCGGGUGUGUAAGCGCAGCGAUGCGUUGAGCUAACCGGUACUAAUGAACCGUGAGGCUUAACCUU
rnacentral:rRNA from 1 species